rnacentral:rRNA from 1 species
UACAGAGGGUGCGAGCGUUGUUCGGAAUUACUGGGCGUAAAGCGCGCGCAGGCGGCCCUUUAAGUCCGUCGGUCAAAUGCCGGGGCUCAACCCCGAGCGUGCCGAGGAUACUGGAGGGCUGGAGACACGUAGAGGCAAGCGGAAUUCCGGGUGUAGCGGUGGAAUGCGUAGAGAUCCGGAAGAACACCGGAGGCGAAGGCGGCUUGCUGGGCGUGAUCGUGACGCUGAGGCAUGAAAGCGUGGGGAGCAAACCGG